rnacentral:lncRNA from 1 species
GGAUUUGGAGAGCAGAAGGGAAGCAGCAGCCACUUUGUAGCUCACCUGUUGACUCACUUGGUGUGAGCCAGCAGCUGAGUGAAAUGGUUCUAUCUUCCCCUAGAUCCUCUUUAGCUUCUCCAACUCCUGGGCCAGCUGGGUAUAUGCUUUGCUUUGCAGCAAAGGGUUUCAGCUUCCGCAGGAUUCCUGCAUCACCAAGUGGGACGCUGCGAGACCUUACACAAGUUUCAGUUCAUCCUCGUGAGCUCCAGCUUAUACUUAAGGGUUCCUGCUUGCUCUUACUCUACCCACUUUGUAUUAGUUUUCCCUUCUAUAUUCUUGUGCUGUGGACUUCAAGCUCCGGUAUCAGGUCUGAAGACAGCAACCUUAAAAAUGUUGGUUAAUGAGCUCCCACAACCGAGUUGCUGAACCCUCGUUUCCUUAGAGCAUUGACUUGAGAAAACUUGCGAUUAUAAAUUCCUUCUGUAUCCCUUUGAGAUAUGUAAUGAGAAGAUGGCCAUCUGCAAACCAGGAAUAGGGCCCUCACUGGACACUGGAUCUGCUGGUGAUUUGAUGUUGGACUUCCCAGUCUCCAGAACUAUAAGCAAUAAAUUUCUGUUGUUUAAACUACCCAAUCUAUAGUAUGUUUGUUAUAGCGAACCAAACUGACUAAGACAAACAAGUUGAAGAUUUCCGGUUACCUAGAACACAGCUCAUGAGACAUUCUUCCACUAAUCUAUGUGUUUUUAUAAUUAGUUAUGUUAACUAAUAUAAUUUUUUUUCAUUUUUCUGGGUUUUUUUGAGGAAGAUUAGCCCUGAGUGAACAUCUGCCACCAAUCCUCCUCUUUUUUGCUGAGGAAGACUGGCCCUGAGCUAACAUCCAUGCCCAUCUUCCUCUACUUUAUAUGUGGGAUGGCUGGCACAGCAUUGCUUAACAAGCAGUGCAUAGGAGGCUGGCUCCAAUAUAAUUCUCUUGUUUUCCUACUUAUUCUAUUGUAUUUGUUAAAGGGUUUUCUAGAAAAUAAAAUCUAUAAGGAAGAAAAUAAAAAUAAUUUAUAAUCAAACGUUGUUAACAUUUUUUGGAGUGUUUUCCAGUAGUAUUUUAUAUUUAUACAUUUUAAUAUGCCUGAAAUAUAUAUAGUGUGUAUAUAUGUUUUCUUGUUAGACUUUUAAAUGCAGUGUUAUAUAUGUUUUAAUGCCUGCAAUUAACUUUAGAAUUCUUCAGUAUCAACAACAUAUUAUACUGUCUUAGCUAUGCUCUGGAGGCUGUUCCUAAGUCAGUAAUUCUCACUCCAGGAGUAGUCAACGAGCAUUUAUCAGAAAUAACACACUACAGAGGCUGCUACAAUGAGUAAUCUAGCCAUCUCUCCCUCCCGUCUGCACCAGCUGCCUCGUAUAAUGUAUGUUAGAACUGAAUUUUUGUUGGUGAAAUUAGUUAAUUAGCAAAAUAAAUGUUAGAAAUAGUACUGAAGAUACAGAGAUUAUCUAGAAUAU